rnacentral:rRNA from 1 species
UACGAAGGGGGGCGAGCGUUGUUCGGAAUUACUGGGCGUAAAGGGCGCGUAGGCGGCGACUCAAGUUAGAUGUGAAAGUCCUGGGCUUAACCUGGGGACUGCAUUUGAUACUGGGUUGCUUGAAUUCGGGAGAGGAUAGCGGAAUUCCCAGUGUAGAGGUGAAAUUCGUAGAUAUUGGGAAGAACACCGGUGGCGAAGGCGGCUAUCUGGACCGACAUUGACGCUGAGGUGCGAAAGCGUGGGGAGCAAACAGG